ensembl:snoRNA
UCUGCCCCUAGAGGUGUUGCAGGUGUGGCUGCCGGAUCACACAUGUAUCAGGAGGUGGCAGAGAGGAGAGAGGCUAUCUGUGUGCUCAGUGUUCUGAUGUGUAAACAUGUGAAUGAUUAACAGAUUAAAUU